GUUAGUAUCAGGGACAUCUGAUAAAAUUGAAACGGUAUAGAGAAGAUUAGCAUUGACCUUGCACAAGGAUGACAUGCAAAAAUCAAAAAAUGGUAUCAGAGCCA